rnacentral:misc_RNA from 1 species
GCAGAAGGAUCAUUAGUGAAGAUUUGGGCAGGCCAUACGGACGCCAAAAAGUGUCCCUGGCCGCCUACACCCACUAUACAUCCACAAACCCGUGUGCACUGUCUUGGAGAAAGGCUUCAGAGAAGUUUUUCGUGGCCUCUCUUGGGGUCUUUCUUCGCUACAAACUCGAAUGGUUAGUAUGAACGUGGAACUUGGUUGGACCGUCACUGGCCAACAAACUAUACACAACUUUCGACAACGGAUCUCUUGGUUCUCCCA